UACAGAGGGUGCGAGCGUUAAUCGGAAUUACUGGGCUUGAAGCGCACGUAGGCGGCGUUGUAAGUGUCGGGUGAAAUCCCACGGCUCACCCGUGGAACUGCCCGGCAUACUGCGAUGCUAGAGUGUGGUAGGGGAGAGCGGAACUCCUGGUGGAGCGGUGAAAUGCGUAGAUAUCAGGAGGAACACCGGUGGCGAAGGCGGCUCUCUGGUCCACAACUGACGCUGAGGUGCGAAAGCUAGGGGAGCAAACGGG
rnacentral:rRNA from 1 species